rnacentral:lncRNA from 1 species
GUUGGAAUCCGGCAGAACUCUUCCCUAGGGAAAACAGAUAUCAGGCAACGUGAAACAGAGAGGCAUCUACCAGGACCGUAAGUGCAUAUCAGCACCGUGCGAUUAUCGUAAAUUCUGCUGGUCAGAAGUCGGAGAGUUGGCAACCAUGUGCAACCAACUCCAAAAGCUGUGUCAGAGACUACAUUUUUACCUUCGCAAGAAAAACACUUCUUAAUUUUUAUUUUUAUUUUGC